CGCCGGACCCGACUGCUAUCGGAUUGAGAUUUAGCCAUGCGAGUCGAACGUCCCCCUGUUGCGGGGGGCGUGGCGUACGGCUCAGUAACACGUAGUCAACCUGCCCUGGAGACAUGGACAACCCCGGGAAACUGGGAUUAAUCCGUGAUAGGUCAUCUCAUCUGGAAGGAGAGAUGGCUUAAAGGGGUACGCGGGCUUCUUCUGCGUAUUCGCUCCAGGAUGGGACUGCGUCCGAUCAGGCUGUUGGCGGGGUAAUGGCCCACCAAACCUGUAACCGGUACGGGCCUUGAGAGAGGUGGCCCGGAGAUGGACACUGAGAGAAGGGUCCAGGUCCUACGGGGCGCAGCAGGCGCGAAACCUUCGCAAUGCGCGAAAGCGUGACGAGGUUAAUCACGAGUGACUUCCGCUGAGGAGGUCUUUUGUCAGCUGUAAAUAUGGCAGGCGAAUAAG
rnacentral:rRNA from 1 species